rnacentral:pre_miRNA from 1 species
AGUGCAAUUGCUGGGUCAUAGAGUAAGUGUCGGUUUAUCUUUUGAAGAAACUGCCAAAUUGUUUUCCAAAGAUGCUGUAUCAUUUUACAUUCCCAUCAGCUAU